UCCCAGGUGGCUCAGAGGGUAAAGCGUCUGCCUGCAGUGCAGGAGACCUGGGUUCGAUCCCUGGGUCGGGAA
rnacentral:tRNA from 1 species